rnacentral:misc_RNA from 1 species
GAUGAAGAACGCAGCGAAAUGCGAUACGUAAUGUGAAUUGCAGAAUUCAGUGAAUCAUCGAAUCUUUGAACGCAUAUUGCGCUCUCUGGUAUUCCGGAGAGCAUGCUUGUUUGAGUAUCAGUAAACACCUCAACUCCCUUUCUUCUUGAAAUGGAGCUGGACUUGAGUGAUCCCAACGCUUUAUUCAUAAAGCGGCGGGUUACUUGAAAUGCAGGUGCAGCUGGACUUUUCUCUGAGCUAUAAGCAUAUCUAUUUAGUCUGCCUCAAAACAGAUUAUUACCUUUGCUGCAGCUAACAUAAAGGAGAUUAGUUCUUGUGCUGACUGAUGCAGGAUUCACAAAGACCGCUUCGGCUGUCUUUGUAAACUCGAUCUCAAAUCAAGUAAGACUACCCGCUGAACUUAAGCAUAUCAAUAAGCGGAGGA